rnacentral:rRNA from 1 species
UACGUAGGGUGCAAGCGUUAAUCGGAAUUACUGGGCGUAAAGCGUGCGCAGGCGGUUUGGAAAGAAAGAUGUGAAAUCCCAGAGCUUAACUUUGGAACUGCAUUUUUAACUGCCAAGCUAGAGUAUGUCAGAGGGGGUAGAAUUCCACGUGUAGCAGUGAAAUGCGUAGAGAUGUGGAGGAAUACCGAUGGCGAAGGCAGCCCCCUGGGAUAAUACUGACGCUCAUGCACGAAAGCGUGGGGAGCA